UGAAUAUUGUGAUGUUGGUUCGGUUCAGUCAGAACUCAGAAGAAGAAUCUCUUCAUGAUCUUUAUUGAUUCUGAUUGAGCCGUGUCAAUAUCUUAGUACUCUUU
rnacentral:pre_miRNA from 1 species